GCAUGUAAUUCCAUUUCCGCCCCUAUGAAAUUAAUAUUCCUAAAAACAGAGCCACCAUUUAUCCAGGUUUACUGUCACUGUGCUAAGAGCCUCGCCUUGUGCUUACUCUUACGCCAGCCCUCCACAGAGGUUAUUAUUGUCCUCCAAUUUACAGAAGAGAAAACUGAGGUGUAGAAGCUUCACACAGGGAGGAAUGAUGUGCACAGUUUUAACUCAGAUGGGCCCGAUUCCAUAGCAAGGUGGAAUGUGUUUUAUGUGCAUAAGCCCUCUACUUUGUAAAACAGGGUAAAGAAGAGUUCCUGCCGGGUCUCACCACUACAACUGGGGGAAGAAACGAGAAGCCUGCAUUUGAAAAUACUAAGAAGGCCAACCCCCCUGAAGGCACUCUUUAGCAGCAGCACGAAGGUUUUCCUCCUGCCCUGGGCCCAGUCGAGAAGAGGAUUAAAGGACGCACCGGCUGGCCGCAGCAAGUCUGGGCGCUGGAGUUAAACCAGUGAGCCGAGGCCCGCGCCGAGGACCUGGCCAGGCCAGCCACUCCUGAAGCCCCGGGAGGAGAGGAAGGCAGCGGCGAACGCCAGGCUCUGGGCUCCGGCGACUGGUGCUACGCAUCCCGCGGAGCUUCUGCUGAGCGCCGGCAGGUCGUCGGCUGCAACCACACACUUGGAUCGCACGUGCAAUGUCCUUUGAUUUUUUUUAAUACAUUAAGAGAAAGAGAAAUAUAUAUAUAUCCACCCCCAGCCCAACCGAGGGCGGCCCUUGGCGGCAACAUGCAAGAAGGAGGGACUGUCGAACCCAAGGGCUCAAAGACGCACUCUUCCACCCUUUUGGAGCGAAUUUAGAACCUCAGCCCUAUCUCCAUUUCCCUAUCUGGCUCUUUCUCUCUUGUCCCUCCAUAUGAUCCGCCCCGACGCCGUCUUCUCUAAUUAAAAUGCAAUAAGGAAUCAAUUCUUUUCUGCCUGAGAAAGAGAACCAGACGCAGGAAGAUGAAAGGCUGCCCUUUGUUCUUCGAAUCGUGGUGGUUUUAUUUUAUUUUUCUUUUUGUCGCUGCACUUCCUGUUUAGUUCCAAGGGAAACACUUUCUCUCUUUCUCUGUCUCUCUCUUUUCUUCCUUCUUUUCCUUCCUUUUUGUUUCUAUCUAAAUAAAAGCUUUCCCUGUGUUGGAAAGUUUUUAUGUAUUUAAACUACCUACCAUGCCUGUUGUGCUCAGGUGUUUGUUCAUCCUGCCAUCCCCAACCCUUUUCUACCUCAAGUCUGUGUGACCACUCACAGCCCCCCUCCCUUCGCCAAAGCAGUGUCUAUGCUCUUGAUUAAUAAAACAUUUUCUGAAAUCAU
rnacentral:lncRNA from 1 species